CUGAGAACAGGAAGGAGGACCUCCGGAAUCAGGCCUCCAAAAACACCAAAAGGUCUACUGAGAACAGGAAGGAGGACCUCCGAAAUCAGGCCUCCAAAAACACCAAGAGGUCUACUGAGAACAGGAAGGAAGACCUCCGGAAUCAGGUCUCCAAAAACACCAAGAGGU